rnacentral:misc_RNA from 1 species
UUACCCAUUCCAGCAUUUUUCUCACUUUUCCUCUUCCAAAAUUUUAGUUCCCCUCAAUCCUGCAAUUUUAUUUUGAAUUGCUUUGUGUAUUGACGGCUGGAUGCACCCAAAGACUAACUCAAGACUUGUACUAUAUUUGCUCAAUAUAAAGGAAUAGUAGAAGCUAUUUAUUAUCUUGUUAAUGUUUAACUCAUGCAAGGGCAGUUGAAGUGCUAUACCAAUAGGGAACUGAAGUGUUGCAUCUGCAUGUAGGAGACAAGAAAAAGCUUGGCAUGAUUUUGCACAUUUUUAGAUCCUAUUAAGCAGUUGAUUUUUCUAUCCACGCUAGUUGGGUAAGGUAUGUGUAUGGCUAAGAUCUUUCGUUGCUAUUUGAUUCAUCAUGUUCUCCAUUUUAACCAUUAACAUAUCAUAUUAGUCCAUAAUUUUUUUUUAAAUCAUUGAAUUAUUCAUGAAUUUCAGUUCUGUACUUGUUAUUCUAUUGAUUAUUAGGUUGCAGACAGAUAGAGAUGGUUAUUCCACCACCAGUUAAG